CCCCGUGAACCUUUACUAUAGCUUCGUAUUGACUUUGGAUAAGUAAUGUGUAGGAUAGGUGGGAGACUAUGAAGUGCAAUCGCUAGGUUGUGUGGAGUCGUUGUUGAAAUACCACCCUUUGCUUAUCUGAAGCCUAACCUCUUAUAGAGGGACAGUGCGUGGUGGGUAGUUUGACUGGGGUGGUCGCCUCCAAAAGAGUAACGGAGGCUUCUAAAGGUACCCUCAGCACGCUUGGUAACCGUGCGUAGAGUGCAAUGGCAUAAGGGUGCUUGACUGAGAGACAUACAGGUCGAUCAGGUUGGAAACAAGAGCAUAGUGAUCCGGUGGUUCCGCAUGGAAGGGCCAUCGCUCAAAGGAUAAAAGGUACUCCGGGG
rnacentral:rRNA from 13 species